UUCAAACACCAUUUCUCGUAGGACCACCGAAGUUAAGCAACGUCGGGUCUGGUCAGUGCUGAGAUAGGUGUCCGCUUGAGAAUACCAGGUGCUGUAAG